rnacentral:rRNA from 1 species
CCUACGGGCGGCAGCAGUGGGGAAUAUUGGACAAUGGGCGAAAGCCUGAUCCAGCCAUGCCGCGUGUGUGAAGAAGGCCUUCGGGUUGUAAAGCACUUUCAGUGGGGAAGAAAGCCUUGGGGCUAAUACCCUCGAGGAAGGACAUCACCCACAGAAGAAGCACCGGCUAACUCCGUGCCAGCAGCCGCGGUAAUACGGAGGGUGCGAGCGUUAAUCGGAAUUACUGGGCGUAAAGCGCGCGUAGGCGGUCUGAUAAGCCGGUUGUGAAAGCCCCGGGCUCAACCUGGGAACGGCAUCCGGAACGGUCAGGCUAGAGUGCAGGAGAGGAAGGUAGAAUUCCCGGUGUAGCGGUGAAAUGCGUAGAGAUCGGGAGGAAUACCAGUGGCGAAGGCGGCCUUCUGGACUGACACUGACGCUGAGGUGCGAAAGCGUGGGUAGCAAACAGGAUUAGAUACCCUAGUAUC